rnacentral:rRNA from 1 species
UACGGAGGGUGCGAGCGUUAUCCGGAAUUACUGGGUUUAAAGGGUGCGUAGGCGGCUUUAUAAGUCAGGAGUGAAAGUUUGCGGCUCAACCGUAAAAUUGCUUUUGAUACUGCGAGGCUAGAAUUAGGAUGAGGUCAGCGGAAUGUGGCAUGUAGCGGUGAAAUGCAUAGAUAUGCCAUAGAACACCAAUUGCGAAGGCAGCUGGCUAGACCUGGAUUGACGCUGAGGCACGAAAGCGUGGGGAGCGAACAGG